AACGCGUGGGUAAUCUGCCUUGAAGAUUGGGACAACUCCUCGAAAGAGGGGCUAAUACCAAAUAUUUUAUAUGAACCACAUGAUUUAUAUAGCAAAGGUAGCCGCAAGGCUUCCACUUUAAGAUGAGCCCGCGUCCUAUUAGCUAGUUGGUAAGGUAACGGCUUACCAAGGCUAUAAUGGGUAGCCGGUCUGAGAGGAUGGUCGGCCACACUGGGACUGAGAUACAGCCCAGACUCCUACGGGAGGCAGCAGUAGGGAAUAUUGCGCAAUGGGCGAAAGCCUGACGCAGCGACACCGUGUGAAGGAUGAAGAUUUUCGGAUUGUAAACUUCUGUCAAUUGGGGACGAAGGUAGUAGGGUUAAUAGCUUUUACUAUUGACGGUACCUAAUAAGGAAGUCUCGGCUUACUCCAUGCCAGCAGCCGCGGUAAGACGGAUGGUGCAAGCGUUAUUCGGAUUUA
rnacentral:rRNA from 1 species